AAUUUUACAUCCCUGGUAUUCACAUCUGAUCGGAUCGUAUAUUUUGAAGAUGAAGACUUUGUUGGCCUCGCUUCUGGCUGCUCUGUUAUUGACAGUCCUUGUCCCAGAUAUGACCUCUUCUCAAAUCAUCAGGGGACGCUGCUAUACCAUGGCCCAGUGUGAGCAAAAUAUGUCGUGUUUUCGGUACUGUAGAAUGCGGGGAUAUACUAUCGGAAAUUGUCAAUUGUCUCUAUCCUGUCCAGGACAAAAUAGAUACAAAUGCAUCUGCAGCACAGAAGACGUUGAAGAUAUGAUCAAUUAUCUGUGAAUAAAUCCUUAAUAAAACUAUAUAUUUAAAA